CCAGCAGCCCCGCCGCCCCGGCCCCGCGCAUCUCAGGGGCCAGGCCGCCAGCAGCCCCACGGGGCCCGGGCAUCCGGGGCCGCAGAACCCGGGGGGCGCGCCCGGGCAGGGGCGAUGGUCCCGGCGCCCGAGGGGAAUAGCAAGCCGGGAGCCCCGGGAGAGGAGUAGAGAGGGCAGCGAGGGAGAGGAUGGGAGGAAGCGCGCGGGGAGGGGACAGCAGGCGCGGGCGCGGGCCCAGUGAGAGGCAAAGAGAUGGAGGCUGGACUGCGGGGAGCCCAGAAACUUCCACCGCCCCGGGAAGGAGCCCAGCCACGAGACGGGGCCGAGGGCCUGCGGAGGCCCCAACCUGAGGCCGGAGCGAGGAGGCCGGAGCAAGUUGAAGCGGAGAGGAGGAGCGAGGGGAGAGGAAGGCCGGGCGGCCGGCCCGCUCCGCGCCUCCCCCGGCCGGGCUGGGCUCCCGCGGCCGCCGGGAAGCAGGGAGCGCGCGGGGCGGACUCAGGGAGAAGUGAGCAGUUGUUUUCCCUGGCUGGAGCACGGCGCGGCGGCGGCGAGGGGGGCUGGGAUGCUGGCCCCGAGCCAGGGAGACAGUUUUUUUCUGUUUAAAGCGUCGUCGCUGCCGCCUGGGGGAGCGAGGGUGUGCGGGCGGGUGGAGGCUGGGGGGCGGUCCCCGCCCCAGAUGCCCGCCCCGCCGGAACCCGCCGCCGCCGCCGCCGCGCUGGGCCCGCUCCAGAGAGCCCUCACCUGGGACCGCUGGCCGCCCCGCCGGAUUCCUCCGGGCGGGGCUGGAAGGCCCGCGCCCACCUCCGCCCGGCAGCAUCAAAGUGGGAAACCGAGGCUGGGGUAGGAAGAUGGGCCUUGCCCCAGGGUCGCGCGGAUAGUGGGAGCAGGUGGGGCUGGAACCCACGCCCCUCAGCCCUGGCGCAGCCUCCCUUGCACAUGUGGGGGUCUCACCACCCCGAAGUCACUUCUUAUUAGUACUGGUCCACUCCCCCUGGAGGAGAGGACUCGAGGAGGGGGCACCCCUUAGCCAGGGCCCCAGCGGGGUCCCAGGAAGAAGCCCGCGGGGUCCAGAAAAGGAGCAGAUGGAACAAAGCUUGAAAUCCAGGUCCCCUGCCAACCCCCCUCUAAAUGGCUUCCUGAUGCCCACCCCGCCCCCGCCCCUUCGCCUUGUCUGGCUGGGCUGGCGGGGCUGGCUCUGGGCCUCAGACACUCUGGAAUCGCCAAGGUCUGAGCUCAGGGCCUGGCCCCCUUCCCAGGCUAACAGCCGGGAGGAGGGGGGUGAUGCUUGAGGGCCCCAGGGCUGGGGAGGGGCACAGCAGGGCCCCAGGGCAGGGGUUGGCAGGGGCUGGCGGGGGGCCUUGAGUUUGGUCAGGGCUGGAGAGGAGCCAGGCCUGUCCGCUAGUCUGGAAGGGAGGCCCUUGAGGGCUGCAGUGCCCUGGGGCCCAGGCCAUAUCCCGGGCACCUAGCCAGGAGACCCCAGGAUUCAGUCUCUGACUCACAGAAUUCAGCAGGGGGUGGGUGUGACCAGGGCACAACCAGAGUGGGACACAGCCAAGUCAGGGUGACACUCUCUCUCCGAGGGGAACGGGGGCUGCAGGCUGACUGAGGGAAAGGGGGUUCAGGGACUUGCCUCCAGGCACACUCGUGCAAGGAACUCAUGGUUUUCACUUUGAGGGUGGGCUCAUUUGGGGGAACUGAGGGAGACUCUUUGGUGGACCCCUGCCCGAAUUGCUCAGUGGGCUCAGGCCCUGUUCACAUAGACAGGUAUUGCAGAGGUAGGAUGGGGGCAAUCCCAUGUCCCCAGGGGGGCUAGGAGGGUGUGUAAGGGCUGCCCACACACUCCCUCGGGGCUCUGGUCCCACACUGAGGCAGGGAGUAGUACUGAGUGCUCACCACUUGCCACGUGUAGGGCUGAGCAUUUUCUAGUCAUUUUUCCCCCAUACUCAUCUGAACUUGGCCCUUGGAACACAGCAUAAACAGACCAGGGUUAGAGUCCUAAUCUCUCUGAGUCUCAGUUUUCUCACCUGUGAAAUGGGGAUCUAUUCACUCAACAGACUAGGAACCUCCCGCGUGCUCCUGCUAACAAGUAGGACGAAUCUUUGCCCUGCCGGAGCUUCUGUACUAGAGGAGACAGACAUCUGACGUGGCUGAGGCUGGAACAGAGACGACUAAGGAGCUGGGAACAAGAGAGGGAGGUACAACCUUGCCUCCAGAGCCUAGUACAGGGCCUGGCAGGCAGAGGGUGCUGAAGUUGGCUGAUUGACUGAAUGGACUGAGACCACGGAACUCUGAAAGACGGAACAAUUAGACUUGCAUCAUCUGGCCUCCUUUCCUCAUUUUUAGACAACGAAGCAAAGGAGCUGACAUUCAUGAAGCCUUGUUGGAUGCUGGGCACAUGGCAAGUCCUCAGGUGUUGUAGGUUCUAAAGAUGAUGGUUGGAAGUUUCAGAAGCCUGGAGGGGACCAUUCUGCCCUGAAGCAUUUCUCUCCAAAGACACUUUACUGAAAGUGACUGUCACUGAGCCCCUCUGAUGUGCCCCUGCUGUGAUGAAGGGCACUGAGAGAUGGGAUUGGAAAACGCAAUGAACCAGUCUUCAUGCUUGAUCAGUCAGAGAGGAUCUUCAGCCCUGCCCCUCGUCUCCACCUUCCGAACCCAGGAAAAGUCCACGGGUGAGAAUCCAGCUCUGGACGUGCGCUGACCAGAUGGGGUCACAGCCCUGCCACAUCCCAGCAGGGUGACUGUGACUAAAUCUCUUAACCUGUCCAGGCUUCAGCUUCUCCAUCUGCACAUUGGGAGACAUAACUCACACUGGUCCUGAGGAUUAAAGGAGAUAAUUCAAGCUCUUAGUAUAGUGCCCGGCCCCAAGAAAAAAUACACCAAAAGUUGAGUAUUAUUAUUUUUUUGUUGCUGUUUCUUUUUUUCUUUUUUUUUUGGCGGUACGCGGGCCUCUCACUGUUGUGGCCUCUCCCGUUGCGGAGCAACAGGCUCCGGACGCGCAGGCUCAGCGGCCAUGGCUCACGGGCACAGCCGCUCCGCGGCAUGUGGGAUCUUCCCGGACCGGGGCACGAACCCGUGUCCCCUGCACCGGCAGGCAGACUCUCAACCACUGCGCCACCAGGGAAGCCCGAGUAUUAUUAUUUUUGCUACUGUAUCAUCUAGUCCUUUCUUGUUUCCCAGAAACGUCAGGUCAAUUCACAUUGCAGUGAAAGACAAGAAGAAAAGUCGACCCCUUCUGGAGGCCUGUUGCCGUGAUGAUAAAAUAAUGCCAGUUACGAUUUUCAGAGCCUCGGCUACACAGCAUAGGCCACUCGUUGUCAUGCGAACCUGAUUCACCAGAUGAGGCAGUCAAGUGGGACCUGUAACUGAGCUGUGUGUGAAUAUGCUGCCGUGGGGUGUGCUGUUACUCAGGGACAGGCCUAACUACUGCCACAUCCACUGUGCCACAGGUCCCGUGGGGGUGGCACCAAUGACCUAGAAUAGACUCCUGCACACAGUGGACUGUGGUAUGGGAGAGGAUGCUAAACUCAAGAACGCAAGUCUUUUCUAAUGACUGCCCUUUGCACUGGCGGGAGAUUCUGUCUCGAUCUUCCAUGGCUAUUCACUGUACCAAUAUCCUUGAGAAGAGAGUCCAGGACAAAGGCAGUCAGUUGCCUCGCUUGCAAAAUGCGCAGAAACUCAAGAGAUCCCUGGAGAAUUGUCUUACAGUAAUAUCCACCCCUCAUUUCUACACUAUCUUGGCUUUGGGCGAAUUUUCCCAUGAGUUCACCACUCUGUUGGCAAAUCUGAUCGACAGAGGCUAGGACCAAAUCUGUUCAAUUUGUGUCAUACAGCAUUUAAUUAAAGCUACUACCAACAGAACUACAAGCAGCAGGAUGAAGCCAACUUGCAGUACUGACCUCAACUAUGCCUCCCAGAUGAACAAAUCCAUAGAGCAUCAUACCUACCUUAGAAAGCCAGGUGGCUCGCUCCUUAGUUCUCUGCAUCAACCUUUCCACCUUGGCCCAGAAGGCAUUCAGGAGAGCCUCAAUUCACUGACCAAGGUUCCUAUGGAUGGUGGAUUUCUCCUGUACUUCUCCUUGCAGACUAGAGUCUGUGCAAUCAAUAUAUCUGCUGUACCUGGAUUAAUGCUUCCAGCCAUGAGUAAGAAGGUCCUUUUUCUCUGACCCAGGAGUCUCCUAUCUUCUGCCAGCAUGCAUGAACCUGUGGCAGGCUCAUGUGUUAGUUUGCAAGUAGGCUAAAGUCAAGGAUAAAUUUCAAGUCACUCUGUUUUCUAGAGAGAGACAAGUUAAUGUGUGACUUCCACGUCAAUCAUGCAGUCUCAAGGGUACUAGUGGUGUUUCUGGGAAAAAACAUGGCGCCCCCAAGUGGGACUUACAUCAGCUAGAGGGGGCCCAGGUUGACAGUGCCUCCCUUCAAGUCCAUAGGCCUUAGAGCUUCCAGCCCAAUCCAAAUAAUUAAGUCUAGUCCUUGUUUUUGGAGGGCUUGGCUAAGGGCAGUUAGUCCUGUUUGCCCAUGCCACCAGCCAGAUGCCAUUCAUCUACUCCAUGGCAUGACUGAGUGGUGAUAGCUUCAGGAUUGGGCCUGGGAUCUGUAUCUGGAGGUGAUGUUGUUGACAGGUAUUUUAUGUAGGAGGUACAGGAGCUGAGGCUACCCGCUGCUGCUUCCAAUCCCUUGGUAAGGUUAAGCAGAAUGGCAAUGAAACCCAGGUCAGAACUGUCUAGUGGAGCAUGGCAGACUCAGCAGUCAGUUAAAUUUAAGUCACUUGAAAUAGUUUGGGCGAGUUGGACCAAGAUGUUGUCCUCAGUGAAGAAGGCUCCAAGUGGUUUGGAAAGACAAAGACUAUAAGUGUCUUUCUUUCCCCCAUUUCUCCCAGGGUCUGAGGUGUCCCCUCCCCAAGUGCCAAGGUUGUUAUUCUCCCUCCAGUGUCACAAAAUCGAUGUGUUCUAUUCUAUAGUUAGAACUUCACCUUUUUUCCAAUUACCUCCUACUUACACUUUUCAUCUGGAAGGGUCAGGUGCAAGAAGGACAAGGACAUUUUUAUAAAACAUACAGGAGCCCACUAUGUCCCCCACUCUACGUGUAGGCCACUGUUCGGGGACUCAGAGAGAGAGGUGUGCGUGCCAAGCGCUCCAGGUAUUCUCAUGAUCUAGGACCGUGUCAGUCAAAUAAGAGAAUCCAGGUGGUUGAGAAUCCCCUAGGCCCCUUUCUGACUGGGCUGUCUCCCGGAGUUGCACCAAUCAGGCUGACCUGGGGUUGCUGUUAAGGGAAAGAGAGAAGCAUUAUGUCCAGGAAUGGGGAACGUGGAACCCUAAAUUUUCAAAACUGGUCUAUAUAAACCCCACCCCUCUCAUCUCAAUCAUUAUGAAGGACAUGGCCUAGAUGAGAUGGUCCCAUCCUGGGGACAGCCACAUUCAGUUAUUGAACUGCUGUACUAAGGUGUGUGGACCAGGAGGGAGAGCCAGAAAUCUCUUUGAGCUAAUUUUUGAGGAGCUAUUUCAGUGCUCAACAGUACCACAUGCUUGUGGAUGACAGGGAGGAUAGAAGGAUCACCAAAUACCUAGACUAUCAGCUCAUUGUUGAGUGGCCUGAGAUGAAAGGUGCACCAUUGUUAGACUUCAAUUGGUCCAGAAAGCCAAAAACAUUACACAGAUUCGUCUCAAGAACCACAAUGGGGUGACCAAAGUUGGCUGAUUGGCCUGAAACAGUACCACUGUAACCUGAAAAAGUGUGAGACACCAUCCAUAGCCCCAGGAAGGAGUCAAAGGUCCCAUGCAUUCAAUCUCUCAGGAGUGGGCAGGGGCAAUGCCAUAUACACUGUAGCCUCCUCUUCACAGAACAAACAGCUGAACUUUUGACCGGGAUCACAAAUUUGGCAUGGAGUGGUGGCUUCUGCAUCAGCAGCAUAGAGUCCUUCACUUUGUGCCCACUCCGUGAUGGUGCACGUGUUGCCAUAUCUGGUAUCAUGAUGGGUCCAGGCAGAAAUGGAGACAAUCUGGGCAGUGCAGGCUCGAACAACAGCUUGAUUCAUGUCAGUCUCAUCAGAGAAUGGGCCUUUAGCAUGGGCAUCUGCAUAAGUGAUCUAGAGAGUUUGAUCAGCCACGAUUUGUUUCCACAGUUAGCUGAGAACAUUGCCGUCCAAAGCCCUCUAUUAGGCGGCAGGGCCCUGACAUUAUCUAUCUCACAUUUGGGGACUCCUUGACUCAGCAACCACAGCAACAUUGCUUUCCAGCUGGAGCGGCAAGGUUCACACCCUUUGGCUGACCUGGGCUUGAGUUGGUCAGUCUUGCUAAUGGUUUGGCAAUUUUGUUGAUCUUCUAAAGAACUAACUUGUAGGUGAGUUGAUUUUCUCUAAUCUAUUCUAGUCUUCCUUCUGCUUGCUUUGGGUUUAGUUUGCUCUUUUUUCUAGUUUCUUAAGGUGGAAGAUUAGGUUACUGAAUUGAGACUUUUUUUUUCUUUUAAAUAUAAGAAUAUACAACUAUAAAUUGCCCUCUAAGCACUGCUUUGGCUGUAUCUCACAAGUUUUGUUAUGCUGUGUUUUCAUUAAUCUCCAAGCAGCUUCUAAUUUCCCAUGUGUUUUCUUCUAUGACCCAUUAGUUAUUUAAGAGGGUGUUGUCUAAUUUCCACAUAUUUGUGAAUUUCCCAAAUUUCCUUCUUUUACUGAUUGCUAAUUUCAUUCCACUGUGAUCUGAGAAGAUACUUUGUAUUAUUUCAACCCUUUUAAGUGUGUUGAGACUUGCUUUAUGGUCUAACAUAUGGUUAGACCAUGUAUAUUUGAGAAGACCAUGUAUAUUUGAGAAGAAUAUGACCUGCUGUUGUUGGGUGGAGCGUUCUAUAGAUGUCUGUCAGGACUUGGGCUUGACUUGCACAGCCGUGACUUUUAUUAAAAGGAGACUACCUUGAUAGAGGGUAUUUCUGUCCCCCUGUCAUAAUAAUGUCUCAUUUUUGCCUUGUUUUAAUAGAAGGGCUAGGAGAGUUUUCUAGGGCAGUGGAGCUGAUCACAAGAAUUUAUCUAGAUUUCUUUGGGGCACCUGUAGCAGUACUGUAAACCUGAAGUAAGACAAUAGGAGCCCAAAGAGUAAUAAAUGCCUCAUCUAUGGUUUCCUAUGGGAGUUUGUCUCAAGGAAAUUUCCCGGAAGAGGGACAAAACUCCCUUAUAGCAGCGAAGACCCAUUAGGGGGGAAAAGCUGAGACCUUUUACUGUCAUCUCAGAAUACAUAUAAGAUUCGCAUGAUAGCCUGUAGAAAGGGCUGAGCUGUAAGAUGACCCAGCUGUUGCCAUUCUUCCUUACCAAGCAUCACAUGCCCUGCCCCUCCUCUCCCAAGUGAGCCAGCAAAGUUCUAAUGAUUCAUCUAUUUUCUUGUCCAUAGCAGUAAUGAAUUUCCCUCCAUUCAUGUUUAAUAUGUGUGUGCAUCUCUGUAAAUGCUGCCUGAAAGGAGGUGGAAACUUCUGUACUCCCAGGAUGAGUCUUUUUUUUUUCUUUUUUUGGCUGCAUUGGGCCUUUGUUGCUGCACGUCAGGAUGAGUCAUUGGUUGUUACAAUGGGGCAGACCUGGACUGUGAGGCGCUACCUUUCCACUCCCAAACCCCACCCAGAAGAGAGUAGUUGUCAUGAGGAAUAAAUGAAAGGGAGUAAAUGGGAGGAUGAGUGUAAGGAUCUUAGUUGGUGUCAGACAGGAUAAGCUGCUGAGUGGAUAUGGGCCAUUAUGAUGACACAGAAGGGUGCAUCGAGAAAUUCGGUGGGGGGUGGGGCGUGCUGGGAGCUGAAGAUAGUAAGGACUCGAAGGGUCUGUGCAUAUAGGCUAGAGGCCAAGAGUGCCUAGUCAUUUUGGCAGAACUGACCUGGUGUCAGGCCCUGAGUCAGGUACACUGCUGCCCAAGAGGCUGCUGGUAGAUGGACAGAGUGACGUGGGGCACAGGGCUCUCCAAGGAAGCAGGAGGCAGGAAGAGUCAGAAAAUGUAAGUUCCAGGGAGUCUAUGUAGGAGGAAGAUGGGGCCAGGAGGAGGGUACUCUAUCUUCAGGUAAAACUGAAAGCAUGUGCUGCCAGUCAGAGAAGGAGAUUGCCGAUGAGAUUACGGGAGUCUAAGUCCUAGCUCCUUCUCAACUGACCUGGUGUACUGCCUUGAGGCACUGCAGGCUGCACAUCUGGGGACUGCUGCCUGCUCCACCUGGCUUCUUCAAACCUACUAAAGGAGAGGAGGUGUAUGGAAAAAGAACAAAGAGGAAAAAAAAAAACCACCAAGGCCAAUGGUCAGGGAGCACUAGUAAUUUUAACAGCAACGCACUCAAGAAGAGCAUAACGGUCACAGGCAUGUGUAAUAAACCCCUCAUCCCCACCCUCCAGCAUGUAUCAGUUGCGGCUGGAACCGAAACUGCGCAUGCCCAGCACAGCGAUUUCCACCCCCACCCGCGGUCAGCUGGCUUUUCGAGGGUUCAAACUUCAACAAAACAAAAUGUCUUCUUAAGGGCUGACUUUGAAUCAGUCCCAGGCCUUUGGGUGGGGAAGAUAGGGAGUGGGCAGACUGUAACACCGAACGUGCAGAAGGGGAGGGGUCUUGAAAUAAGCUGAAAGGCAGCGAGAACGAUCGCCGCCUGGCCUGCCUUGCCAGUUGAAGUGAGAAGGGAAGGACUGAGGCCCGAGGAGGCUCCACGCAUGCAUAAGGGGCCGUUUGUUAUCAAGGGUGUUGUGAUGUUGCCACUGCCCCGGGUCCUGCCAGUGCGGAAAGGGAAACUCCAGGGGAGGCGGAGGCCAGCGGAGAUUUCUCAAGCCAACCGGUCCCCUC